rnacentral:tRNA from 1 species
GCGCCCGUAGCUCAGAUGGAUAGAGCGUUUGACUCCGACUCAAAAGGCCGCUGGUUCGAGUCCAGUCGGGCGUACCA